GAGAAUUCCUCUCAAGAGUACAGGUAGAGGGGAACUGGUUCCUUGCUUCGGGAACUUCACCCGAGAGCGCAGAAAUCCUUCCCGAGGCAGGAAAAAUGGAUUCCGUUCCAUGUAGAGAUAUUUAAGAUUUUAUUGUGUAAAAAUCUGUAUUCAGCGUGAACACCGGGGCCACCUACGCACAAAAAGAAGUCUUUACCGCUUUUCUUUCUUUUUACUCUCAGCCAGUGGAAGAUGAGAAUUUGCCGUUUUUAAAAGACCCAAGUAAAAUGACAGGAAUUACGGCAC
rnacentral:lncRNA from 1 species